GAAAUGCGAAACGUAGUGUGAAUUGCAUAAACCUGUGAAUCAUUGAAUCUUUGAACGCACAUUGCGCUCUGCGGCGGUUCCGCGGCGGAGCAUGCCUGGGUGAGAAUUGCAACACACACUGGCCCGAGGGUUCUGGCCGAGCUGGGGUGCUGGCGGUGCGCGCAAACGUGCUGCCACGCCCUCAAAGACAAGGCGGUGCGGCGCAGCGCGAGGCGUGACAAGCAUGGACUGUGGUCCGUCGUGCGCUCAAGUGCUGCGUUAGCACCGCGUCCAAGUUGAUUGGAGUAUUAACCAUGUUAAUAACUUCAAUUAUCAUCAUAUCAGCAAUCUCACACAGGCAAGAGUACCCGCCGAACUUAA
rnacentral:misc_RNA from 1 species